UUUAUAUAGAUCCUUGCAUCUUUAAAAAAAAAUUUAAUUUAACUUAAUUUUAAGUUCCAGGAUACAUGUGCAAGUUUGUUACAUGGGUAAAGAUCCUUGCAUCUUUAAAGGUAACUGGCAAAAAUACUCUCCAUGUGUAAUCUUUAACUCACUCUAGAAAACCUGUCCAAUUCUUUUCAAAUGAAAUUGCAAUCUAGUCAAAACUAAGUAUCCCUUUAGAAACAGAAUAGAGGAGUAAAGAAGAUUAAAAAAGAAAACGGUCCAAAAUGUGACUCAUUCCUCUGGUUUGAGGUUUUUAAAAAGACAUGCAAGGAAGAGCAGAAUAUAGAUUUUCAUUUUGUGUGCAGGGCACUUUGCUGAAGUGGAGCCAGCCUCCUGAGAAGUGCCUGGAAGAUUGGCUUGGAGUAUUCUGAAGUGGUUUGGGGCUGCCCAGAGACUCAUGGGCAUGGUACAGUGACUCCUGCCAGGGACUCCUCUGGCCUCAGAGGUAGGUUCUGAAAUGAGGACUUGUGCUCAUGCCAGGCCCUGUUGCUAAGACAGCUUCUGUGUGUUAUUGUGUGGGAAAAGGAGGUUCAGCUCCGUGGCCCACCUCCCAAUCACUGGGAGAGGAAUGUGAAAGGCAGAGCAGGGGACCUGGAGGAGGAAUGCGCAGUGAUGGAAGUGCAAAGGCAGGAGAUGGGUCUGGAAAAGACUCCAGUCAUCGUCACUUCCAGGGCAGAAGAAGCCAUAGUCAAGGAGCCUUUCCCAUAGUUGUGGGAAAGAAGAUGGAUAAAGUUAUUGUUAAUCUAUGA
rnacentral:lncRNA from 1 species